rnacentral:rRNA from 1 species
UACGAAGGGGGCUAGCGUUGCUCGGAAUCACUGGGCGUAAAGCGCGUGUAGGCGGUUCGGUAAGUCGGCUGUGAAAAGUCCAGGGCUCAACCCGUGGGAUGCCGUCGAUACUGCCUGGACUAGGAAUUGGGAAGAGGCGAGUGGAAUUCCCGGGUGUAGCGGUGAAAUGCGCAGAUAUCGGGAGGAACACCAAUGGCGAAGGCAGCUCGCUGGGACGGUACUGACGCUGAGACGCGAAAGCGUGGGGAGCGAACG